rnacentral:rRNA from 1 species
UACGUAGGGGGCAAGCGUUGUCCGGAUUUAUUGGGCGUAAAGAGCGUGUAGGCGGCCAAGCAGGUCCGCUGUGAAAACUCGAGGCUCAACCUCGAGACGUCGGUUGAAACCGUAAGGCUAGAGUCCGGAAGAGGAGAGUGGAAUUCCCGGUGUAGCGGUGAAAUGCGCAGAUAUCGGGAAGAACACCCGUGGCGAAGGCGGCUCUCUGGGACGGUACUGACGCUGAGACGCGAAAGCGUGGGGAGCGAACAGG